rnacentral:rRNA from 1 species
UGGGGAAUUUUGGACAAUGGGCGCAAGCCUGAUCCAGCCAUGCCGCGUGUCUGAAGAAGGCCUUCGGGUUGUAAAGGACUUUUGUCAGGGAAGAAAAGGGCGGGGUUAAUACCCCUGUCUGAUGACGGUACCUGAAGAAUAAGCACCGGCUAACUACGUGCCAGCAGCCGCGGUAAUACGUAGGGAGCGAGCGUUAAUCGGAAUUACUGGGCGUAAAGCGGGCGCAGACGGUUACUUAAGCAGGAUGUGAAAUCCCCGGGCUCAACCUGGGAACUGCGUUCUGAACUGGGUGACUAGAGUGUGUCAGAGGGAGGUAGAAUUCCACGUGUAGCAGUGAAAUGCGUAGAGAUGUGGAGGAAUACCGAUGGCGAAGGCAGCCUCCUGGGAUAACACUGACGUUCAUGCCCGAAAGCGUGGGUAGCAAACA